AGAGUCCUAAUGUGUUCGUUGUUUCACCUGACAUUUUGACCUAACAUUAUUCCUUCGGGAGCCCGGAUUUCCUUGCGGCGUAAACGCCUCUGGCUAGGGGACUUACAAAAGCGGGAAUAGGGCACCCACCUGCUGAGUGCGGGUUCAAAACGAAGGCAUCCAAGGCGACGGCACAAUUGGGACUCUU
rnacentral:other from 17 species